ACUCAAAGGAAUAGACGGGGACCCGCACAAGCGGUGGAGCAUGUGGAUUAAUUCGAUACUAACCGAAGAACCUUACCCAGGUUUGACAUCGAUGGUAAGCCCGAGAAACCGGGCCCUCUCCCAAAAGGAGACCUGAAGACACUUGUUGCAUGGCUGUCGUCAGCUCGUGCCGUGAGGUGUACGGUUAAGUCCGCCAACGAGCGCAACCCUCGUUCUAUGUUGCCAGCACAUAAUGGUGGGAACUCAUAGGAGACUGCCGAUGUAAAUCGGAGGAAGGUGAGGAUGACGUCAAGUCAGCAUGGCAGUUACGCCUGGGGCUUCACACAUGCUACAAUGGGCGAAACAAAGGGCAGCGAUACCGCGAGGUGGAGCCAAUCCCAAAAAUACGCCCCCAGUUCAGAUUGCAGUCUGCAACUCGACUGCAUGAAGGCGGAAUCGCUAGUAAACGCAGGUCAGCUAUACUGCGUUGAAUACGUUCCCGGGUCUUGUACACACCGCCCGU
rnacentral:rRNA from 1 species